rnacentral:rRNA from 1 species
CCUACGGGAGGCAGCAGUGAGGAAUAUUGGUCAAUGGACGAGAGUCUGAACCAGCCAAGUAGCGUGAAGGAUGACUGCCCUAUGGGUUGUAAACUUCUUUUAUAUGGGAAUAAAAUGUUCCACGUGUGGGAUUUUGUAUGUACCAUAUGAAUAAGGAUCGGCUAACUCCGUGCCAGCAGCCGCGGUAAUACGGAGGAUCCGAGCGUUAUCCGGAUUUAUUGGGUUUAAAGGGAGCGUAGGUGGAGUGUUAAGUCAGUUGUGAAAGUUUGCGGCUCAACCGUAAAAUUGCAGUUGAAACUGGCAGUCUUGAGUACAGUAGAGGUGGGCGGAAUGCGUGGUGUAGCGGUGAAAUGCUUAGAUAUCACGAAGAACUCCGAUUGCGAAGGCAGUUCACUGGACUGCAACUGACACUGAGGCUCGAAAGUGUGGGUAUCAAACAGGAUUAGAUACCCUUGUAGUC